AACGUAGGAGACAAACGUUAUCCGGAGUUACUGGGCGUAAAGGGCGUGUAGGCGGUUUGUUAAGUUUGGCGUGAAAGCUCUCGGCUAAACCGGGAGAGGUCGUUGGAUACUGGCAAACUAGAGGACGGUAGAGGCGGGUGGAAUUCCGGGUGUAGUGGUGAAAUGCGUAGAGAUCCGGAGGAACACCAGUGGCGAAGGCGACACGCUGGGCCGUACCUGACGCUAAAGCGCGACAGCAUGGGGAGCAAACGGG
rnacentral:rRNA from 1 species